AGCGAACGCUGGCGGCAGGCCUAACACAUGCAAGUCGAACGCCCAGCAAUGGGAGUGGCAGACGGGAUAGUAACACGUGGGAACGCGCCCUUCGGUUCGGAAUAACUCAGGGAAACUUGAGCUAAUACCGGAUACGCCCUUACGGGGAAAGAUUUAUUGCCGAAGGAACGGCCCGCGUCGGAUUAGCUAGUUGGUGAGGUAAUGGCUCACCAAGGCGACGAUCCGUAGCUGGUCUGAGAGGAUGACCAGCAUCACUGGGACUGAGACACGGCCCAGACUCCUACGGGAGGCAGCAGUGGGGAAUAUUGGACAAUGGGCGCAAGCCUGAUCCAGCCAUGCCGCGUGGAUGAUGAAGGCCCUAGGGUUGUAAAGUCCUUUUAACGGGGAAGAUAAUGACGGUACCCGUAGAAUAAGCCCCGGCUAACUUCGUGCCAGCAGCCGCGGUAAUACGAAGGGGGCUAGCGUUGCUCGGAAUUACUGGGCGUAAAGCGCACGUAGGCGGGUCGAUAAGUCGGGGGUGAAAUCCUGGAGCUCAACUCCAGAACUGCCUUCGAAACUGUCGAUCUUGAGUUCGGGAGAGGUGAGUGGAACUGCGAGUGUAGAGGUGAAAUUCGUAGAUAUUCGCAAGAACACCAGUGGCGAAGGCGGCUCACUGGCCCGCAUACUGACGC
rnacentral:rRNA from 1 species